rnacentral:SRP_RNA from 3 species
UGGUUAAGAUGGCGUAAGCUUUCGAACCGUGUCAGGAUGGAAACAUAGCAGCACUAAGAUUGACCUUGCGGGUGUCCUAAUUGUUG